GAUGAACGCUAGCGGCAGGCUUAACACAUGCAAGUCGAGGGGUAUAGUUCUUCGGAAUUAGAGACCGGCGCACGGGUGCGUAACGCGUAUGCAAUCUACCUUUCACAGAGGGAUAGCCCCAGAGAAAUUUGGAUUAAUACCUCAUAGUAUAGCAGUUUCGCAUGAAACCACUAUUAAAGUCACAACGGUGAAAGAUGAGCAUGCGUCCCAUUAGCUAGUUGGUAAGGUAACGGCUUACCAAGGCAACGAUGGGUAGGGGUCCUGAGAGGGAGAUCCCCCACACUGGUACUGAGACACGGACCAGACUCCUACGGGAGGCAGCAGUGAGGAAUAUUGGACAAUGGGCGCAAGCCUGAUCCAGCCAUGCCGCGUGCAGGAUGACGGUCCUAUGGAUUGUAAACUGCUUUAUACAGGAAGAAACACUACCGACGUGUCGGAGCUUGACGGUACUGUAAGAAUAAGGAUCGGCUAACUCCGUGCCAGCAACCG
rnacentral:rRNA from 1 species